AGAACGAACGCUGGCGGCAGGCCUAACACAUGCAAGUCGAACGCGACCUUCGGGUCGAGUGGCGCACGGGUGAGUAACGCGUGGGAAUCUGCCCUGUGGUACGGAAUAACAUCGGGAAACUGGUGCUAAUACCGUAUAUCCCCUGAGGGGGGAAAGAUUUAUCGCCAUGGGGAGGAGCCCGCGUAGGAUUAGCUAGUUGGUGGGGUAACGGCCUACCAAGGCGACGAUCCUUAGCUGGUCUGAGAGGAUGAUCAGCCACACUGGGACUGAGACACGGCCCAGACUCCUACGGGAGGCAGCAGUGGGGAAUAUUGGACAAUGGGGGAAACCCUGAUCCAGCCAUGCCGCGUGUGUGAUGAAGGCCUUCGGGUUGUAAAGCACUUUCGCACGUGACGAUGAUGACGGUAACGUGAGAAGAAGCCCGGCUAACUUCGCGCCAGCAGCCGC
rnacentral:rRNA from 1 species